CCCUUAGAUGUUCUGGGCCGCACGCGCGCUACACUGAUGCAUUCAACGAGCCUAUCCUUGACCGACAGGUCCGGGUAAUUUUUGAAUCUGCAUCGUGACGGGGAUAGAUUAUUGCAAUUAUUAAUCUUCAACGAGGAAUGCCUAGUAGGCGCAAGUCAUCAGCUUGCGUCGAUUACGUCCCUGCCCUUUGUACACACCGCCCGUCGCUACUACCGAUUGAACGGUUUAGUGAGGGCCUCGGAUUGGUCUCGGCCCGCUCUUUACCGGGCGGCGCCGUUGGUCGAGAAGACGCUCGAACUUGAUCGUUUAGAGGAAGUAAAAGUCGUAACA
rnacentral:rRNA from 1 species